AAUAGAUACCCGGGUAGUCCACGCCGUAAACGUUGGGCACUAGGUGUGGGGCUCAUUCCACGAGUUCCGUGCCGCAGCAAACGCAUUAAGUGCCCCGCCUGGGGAGUACGGCCGCAAGGCUAAAACUCAAAGGAAUUGACGGGGGCCCGCACGAAGCGGCGGAGCAUGCGGAUUAAUUCGAUGCAACGCGAAGAACCUUACCAGGGCUUGACAUACACCGGAAAGCUGCAGAGAUGUAGCCCCCGCAAGGCCGGUGUACAGGUGGUGCAUGGUUGUCGUCAGCUCGUGUCGUGAGAUGUUGGGUUAAGUCCCGCAACGAGCGCAACCCUCGUCCCAUGUUGCCAGCACGUAAUGGUGGGGACUCUUGGGAGACUGCCGGGGUCAACUCGGAGGAAGGUGGGGAUGACGUCAAAGUCAUCGAUGCCCCUUAUGUCCUGGGCUUCACGCAUGCUACAAUGGCCGGUACAAAGGGCUGCGAUACCGCGAGGUGGAGCGAAUCCCGAAAAAGCCGGUCUCAGUUCGGAUUGGGGUCUGCAAGUCCCG
rnacentral:rRNA from 1 species